rnacentral:rRNA from 1 species
GAUGAACGCUGGCGGCGUGCCUAAUACAUGCAAGUCGAGCGAACGGACGAGGAGCUUGCUUCUCUGAUGUUAGCGGCGGACGGGUGAAUCACACGUGUAUCACCUACCUAUAAGACUGGGAUAACUUCGGGAAACGGGAGCUAAUACCGGAUAAUAUUUUGAACCGUAUGGUUCAAAAGUGAAAGACGGUCUUGCUGUAACUUAUAGCUGGAUCCGCGCUGCAUUAGCUAGUUGGUAAGGUAACGGCUUCCCAAGGCAACGAUGCAUAGCCGAACGGACAGAGGGAUCGGCCACACUGGAACUGAGACGGGGUCCAGACGCCUACGUGAGGCAGCAGUAGGGUAUCUGACGCAAUGGGCGAAAGUCUGACGGAGCAACGCCGCGUGAGUGAUGAAGGUCUUCGGAUCGUAAAACUCUGUUAUUAGGGAAGAACAUAUGUGUAAGUAACUGUGCACAUCUUGACGGUAACUAAUCAGAAAGCCACGGCUAACUACGUG